CUCGAGGACAGCGCUGUCUGAGCAUGGCUGUGUUCCACUCCAGCGCUGUCUUCGAGACAGCCUGAUCCCUUUACAAGAGUUGUGUUUGGUUUGCAUUUAAGGGCCAACCCUUUAAUGCAAACUCUUAACACAAUUAAAUGCGUUUUAAGGAAUGGCGUGUAACGGUUUCUGUGUAAGGGUUGGCGUUUAAAGGUUGGCGUUUAAGGGUUGGCGUUUACGGGUUGUGUUUAACGUUUGGCGAAUGAGGGUUGGUGUUUAAGGGUUCGCGUUUAAGGGUUUGUAUUUAAGGGUUCCGUUUAAGGGUUUGGAUUUAAGGGUUGUGUUUAACUGUUUGUGUUUAAGGGUUGUGUUUAAAGGUUUGCGUUUAAGGGCUAACCCUUAAACGUAAAUGCUUUAACACAAGGGUUUGCAUUUAACGGUUGGUGUUUAAGGGUUGUGUUUAACUGUUUGUGUUCAUGGAAAAACUCUUAAACGUAAAUUCUUGAUCACAAGGGUUGAUGUUGAAAGGUUGGCGUUCAAGAGUUGGCGUUGCUGUGUAAGGAUUGCUGUGUUUAAGGGUUGGCAUUUAAGGGUUUUGUUUUCGGGUUUGCGUUUAAGGGCCAACCGUUAAAUGUAAAUGCUUAAACACAAGGGUUUGCGUUGAAGGAUUGGCCAAUUAAGGGUUGUGUUUGGUUUGGUGUUUAAGGAUUGGUGUUUAAGGGUUGUGUUUAAAGGUUUGCGUUUAAGGGUUGGCCCUUAAACGCAAAUCCUUAACACAAGAAAUAUGCGAUUAAGGGUUCGCGUGUAAGACUUGCUGUGUAAGGGUUGCUGUGUAAGGGUUGGCCAUAAAGGUUUGGCGUUUAAGGAUUUAUUUUCGGGUUUGCGUUUUAGGGCCAACCCUUAAACGAAAAUGCUUAAACACAAGGGGUUGCGUUUAAGGGUAGGCCGUUUAAGGGUUGUGUUUGGUUUGGCGUUUAAGGGUUGUGUUUAAAAGUUUGCGUUUAAGGGCCAACCCAUAAACGCAAAUCCUUAACACAAGAAAUAUGCGUUUAAGGGUUGGCGUGUAAGGGUUGCUGUGUAAGGGUUGCUGUGUAAGGGUUGGCGUUAAAGGUUUGGCGUUCACGGGUUAUAUUAUUGGGCUUGCGUUUAAGGGCCAACCCUUAAACGUAAAUGCUUAAACAAGGGUUUGCGUUUAACGGUUGGUGUUUAAUAGUUGUCUUUAACGUUUGGCGCAUAAGGCUUGGUGUUUAAGGGUUCGCGUUUAAGGGUUUGUAUUUAAGGGUUGUGUUUAACUGUUUGUAUUUAUGGAAAAGCCCUGAAAUGUAAUUUCUUGAUCACAAGGGUUGACGCUCAAAGGUUGGCGUUUAAGAGUUGGCGUUGCUGUGUAAGGGUUGCUGUAUUUAAGGGUUGGCGUUUAAGGAUUGUGUUUAAAGGUUUAUGUUUAAGGGCCAACCCUUACACGAAAAUCCUUAGUACGAGAAAUAUGCGAUUAAGUGUUGGUGUGUAAGAGUUGCUGUGUAAGGGUUGCUGUGGAAGGGUUGGCAAUAAAGGUUUGGCGUUUAACUUUUUUUUAGGGUUUGCAUUUAAGGGUCAACGCUUAAACGUAAAUGCUUUAACACAAGGGAAUGCGUUUAACAAUUGGCGUUUUAAGGUUUGUGUUUAACGUUUGGCUCAUACGAGUUGGUGUUUAAGGGUUCGUGUUGAAGGGUUUGUAUUUAAGGGUUGUGUUUAACUGUUUGUGUUUAUAGAAAAACCCUGAAAUGUAAUUUCUUGAUCCGUGUCGGUGUGAACUUUCAUGGCGAAUAAAACCCUUUCUGAUUCUGA